rnacentral:rRNA from 1 species
UGACUGGAGUGCAAAGUGGGUGGUAGCUUCCACACAAAGGCAAACACACCACUGAGACUGACAGUGAAGAAGUACCGUGAGGGAAGUAUGAAAAGGACUUUGGAAAGAGAUUUAAAAGAGCCUGCACUUGCUGGACAACAAGCAUACAGAAUG